rnacentral:lncRNA from 1 species
UUUUUCCCUAAGGAGGCUAGGCAAUAAUUCUCUCUUUAUGUCUCUCUCAAUGUUUCUUUCUCCCCCCUGAUUGGUGUGAUGUCAUUAUUGCGUGAACCGGGUGGAAAGGCCAGGGGGGCCCGGAAAGAGUGGAUUUUAGCAGGAGUUAUUACCUGCACCGGGUGUAUCUUAUUUUAUGCACCAUACUCCUAAAUACUCAUAUAAAGAUACAAUAACGGAGGCUUCAAAAUCAAACCUUGAUUCAUGUUAGGAUUUGGUUAGAUUUGUAGUUGAAUCCUAUUUAGAUAAGAAUUAAUAUUUAAAUCUGUUGGAGAUAAAUUAAGAUUUAAAUAUUAAUUAGAGGAUAAACCUAACUAGAUUAGGACUAAUAUUUAAAUCUAUUAGAGAUUGAUUAAGAUAGAUUUAGAUAUUAAUUGGAGUAGAAAUCCUAAAUAUAUUAGGAUUGGGGUACGUUUUAGUGGAGCCUUAUAAAUAGCUCUUUGUGGGUUUGCUUUUGAGGUGAGUACGGGAGAGAGAAAAAAGAGCUCUUGGGUGCCGUACUAGAGAGAGAAAAAGAGAGAGAGAGUUAUUCAAUGAGUUGAGUGCAUCUAGUGCACGGGUGCGCGUGGAUGAUUGUCUUCUUUGUGGGAUCAUAGAAGACGAGAGAAGGGUAGAAGAAAUUCAAAAAAGAGGGCUCGAGUUGUAGCUACUCUGUUGCAGAAGAGGAGUCAGGUGUAAUCUUCUCUUAUUUAAUGAAUCUUAUUUUACCUGCAUAUGUUUCUCUUUUAUGAUUGUAUCAGCUUUUGCUGAGGAGACGGGUUUAUGGUCAAAACCCGAUUUGACGUUUCCGUUGCGGAAUCCCAACAAUCGAUACCGGAUCCACAGCAGUCGGUAUUGGAGCGGAUUGCGGAUUCACGAGAUCCGGUACCGGGGCGAGUACCCGAUUCCCAACAAGUGGUAUCAGAGCCGAAGGUUACCGAUUUGCCGGAGAGAUCGACGGAGAUGGCCACGAAAUUCGAAAUCGAGAAGUUCGACGGCAAGAACAAUUUCGGAUUAUGGCAAAUUAAAGUACGAGCAAUCCUCGUACAGCAAGAGUUAGACGAGACGUUGAACGGGAAGGAGGCAAAGCCGGCGGAGGUCACGGAUGUGGCAUGGACGAAGAUGGAGCGGAAGGCGCUGAGUACGCUUCAUCUAUCAUUAGCAGAUGAGGUUCUUUACAAUGUAGCCGGCGAGACGACACCGGCGAAAUUGUGGAAGAAAUUGGAAGAUCUGUACAUGACCAAAUCCCUGACGAACAGAUUGUAUCUGAAGCAGCGACUGUUUACGUUGCGGAUGCAAGAAGCGGCGAGCCUACAUGAUCAUCUAAAUGAGUUCAACAAGGUGGUGGCCCAGUUGACCAGCAUCGGAGUCAAUCUGGAUGACGAAGACAAGGCGUUGAUCCUACUAUCUUCGCUGCCGACGGCAUAUGAGCAUCUGGUGACCACGUUGCUUUAUGGCAAGGAGUCCAUAAGCGUAGAGGCGGUCACAGCGGCGCUUCUUUCGAACAAGAUGCGGAAGAUGACUCAGGAGUCCGGCAUACAGAGCCGGGAUACAGCUUUGGUGGUGAGAACGAAGAAGGUGGCGACAACAUCAGCGACCGGAGAUCGACAGAAAAAGCCGCUAUCUGAGGUGGAGUGCUUUUACUAUCACAGGAAAGGGCAUAUAAAGUGCAACUGUCGAAAACUUCAGGAUGAUUUGAAGAAGUUAAAGCGACAGAAGGAGAAAACUGUCGUGAAUCAGGACGAGAUGGUAUCAGCGACGGCACAGACGGCAGAGUCGGAGAUGUUCGAUUCUGAUGUGCUAUAUGCGGCGACCGGAGGUGCGAAAAUUUCGGACGAUGUGUGGGUUCUCGAUUCGGCGUAUUCUUUUCACGUAUGCCCGGAGAAGGAGUCUUUUGCCACCUAUAAGGCGACCAAAGGUGGAAAGGCGCUGAUGGGGAACGGGACAGCGUGCAAAGUAUUGGGGGUCGGCAUGGUGAAAAUCCGAAUGCACGAUGGGGUUGUGAGGACGUUGACAGGUGUGCGGCACGUUCCUGGAUUGAAGCGGAAUUUGAUCUCGUUAGGCUCAUUGGACUCGAAGGGUUGCGAUAUUUCAGCUUCAGGUGGAGCUAUGAGGGUCCAAAAACGAGAUCGGAUCGUGUGCGAGGCGAACAAGCGUGGGAACUUAUACGUUCUGAACGGAAGCACAGUCAGAACGGGAGCGAAAACGGUUUGGGUUCCAAAAGUUCGCGGAUGUGCAGUUGCUCGAGAUGGAGCGACGGAUGCGGCGACAUCGAGCGGAGGAGACAAGCUCAAGGUGGAGUUUGCAUGGUGAGCUCGACGUAGCGGUUGAAAAUUACAAAUCAAACCAAGGUGGAGAAUGUUAGGAUUUGGUUAGAUUUGUAGUUGAAUCCUAUUUAGAUAAGAAUUAAUAUUUAAAUCUGUUGGAGAUAAAUUAAGAUUUAAAUAUUAAUUAGAGGAUAAACCUAACUAGAUUAGGAUUAAUAUUUAAAUCUAUUAGAGAUUGAUUAAGAUAGAUUUAGAUAUUAAUUGGAGUAGAAAUCCUAAAUAUAUUAGGAUUGGGGUACGUUUUAGUGGAGCCUUAUAAAUAGCUCUUUGUGGGUUUGCUUUUGAGGUGAGUACGGGAGAGAGAAAAAAGAGCUCUUGGGUGCCGUACCAGAGAGAGAAAAAGAGAGAGAGAAAGUUAUCCAAUGAGUUGAGUGCACCUAGUGCACGGGUGCGCGUGGAUGAUUGUCUUCUUUGUGGGAUCAUAGAAGACGAGAGAAGGGUAGAAGAGAUUCAAAAAAGAGGGCUCGAGUUGUAGCCACUCUGUUGCAGAAGAGGAGUCAGGUGUAAUCUUCUCUUAUUUAAUGAAUCUUAUUUUACCUGCAUAUGUUUCUCUUUUAUGAUUGUAUCAGCUUUUGCUGAGGAGACGGGUUUAUGGUAAAAACCCGAUUUGACGUUUCCGUUGCGGAAUCCCAACAAUCGAUACCGGAUCCACAGCAGUCGGUAUCGGAGCGGGUUGCGGAUUCACGAGAUCCGGUACCGGGGCGAGUACCGG